GGCAUGGUGGAGUAGUGGUUAGCAUGUUUGCCUUGUACCUCCAGGGAUGGGGGUUUGAUUCCCGCCUCUGCGCA